GACGUAGGAUGCAAGCGUUGUCCGGAUUUAUUGGGCGUAAAGAGUUCGUAGGCGGUUCGUUAAGUCUGAUGUUAAAUAUCGGGGCUCAACCUCGGGAGUGCAUUGGAUACUGGCGGACUGGAGUGUGGUAGAGGUUAGUGGAAUUCCCAGUGUAGCGGUGAAAUGCGUAGAUAUUGGGAAGAACACCAGUGGCGUAGGCGACUAACUGGGCCAUAACUGACACUGAGAAGCGAAAGCAUGGGGAGCGAACAGG
rnacentral:rRNA from 1 species